CACCAGGUGGCAAGGAGAUUCUGUCGCAUCCUGGCGAACAGUGACCUGACCUCAGUUUAUACAGACUUCUGUCACGUUGCAUCUGGUGGUACAGAUACGAAAGCAAUGCAUUUUUCCAAGACAGCUCACAGAUGAACGUACUUCAUCGCAGUCACAUGUAUGCAGCAGUCCUGUGGCAAAGAGCCAGCUGGUUGCCCCAGACUAAUUCACGUAGCAUCAACACUGCCUUUUCUCUCCAAAUUACAGGGCAAACAAUAACAGGUCAUUUCAUGGUGCUAGGAUGGAAAGGAGAAAAGAGAGCUCAACGGGGUGGAGGAGAAGCUGAGGACGGAGGGAUGGAAGCAGAAGUCUAAGUGGACUGCCGGCUCUUCAGGACAGGGACCAUGGCUUCUAAUGUUGUCGUACAAAACCUAGUACAAUGUGAUUUUGAUUCUGUCUGGGGCCUCUACGCACUACAGGAAUACAAAUAGUUAAUAAUAAUAUCACAGAGA